UGAAUUGACGGGGCCCGCACAAGCGGUGGAGCAUGUGGUUUAAUUCGAUGCAACGCGAAGAACCUUACCAGGUCUUGACAUCCCCUGACAACCCGAGAGAUCGGGCGUUCCCCCUUCGGGGGACAGGGUGACAGGUGGUGCAUGGUUGUCGUCAGCUCGUGUCGUGAGAUGUUGGGUUAAGUCCCGCAACGAGCGCAACCCUCGACCUUAGUUGCCAGCAUUCAGUUGGGCACUCUAAGGUGACUGCCGGCUAAAAGUCGGAGGAAGGUGGGGAUGACGUCAAAUCAUCAUGCCCCUUAUGACCUGGGCUACACACGUGCUACAAUGGGCGGUACAAAGGGUCGCGAACCCGCGAGGGGGAGCCAAUCCCAAAAAGCCGCUCUCAGUUCGGAUUGCAGGCUGCAACUCGCCUGCAUGAAGCCGGAAUCGCUAGUAAUCGCGGAUCAGCAUGCCGCGGUGAAUACGUUCCCGGGCCUU
rnacentral:rRNA from 1 species